UGCUCACAAAGUAGGUUUGUUUGUUUGUUUGUUUGUUUGUUUGGGGCCCUGGGGUUUGAACCCAGAGGCACUUAACCACUGAGCCACAUUCCUAGCACUUUUUUUAAUAUUUGAUUUUAAGUUCGAGUCUCACUAAGUUGCUUUUUGAACUUUCAAUUCUGCUGCCUCAGCUUCCUGAGCUACUAGGAUUAUAGGUUUGCACCACCACACCUGACCAGAGUAGCUUUAUUUUUUAAGCAUUAGUACCAUAUCUUUCUUCUCUCUCACACUCAGUAUGCAUGAUUAGGAUUGACCCCUACCAUCACUAUCCCCUUUGUCAUAAAGAAUUAUCAAAGAAACUGCCCCCAAAGUUUGGGGCUUAGUAGACUGUAGAUUUGCUUAUUUGUAUUUGCUCACAUUAUUCUCUUAGAUGAUAAGUUCUGUGGAAGAGUAUCAUGCCUAUUUUGUAAUAUGUCUAGAAACACUUCUGCUGUCUGCCUUCUUCUUGAAUAUGGGGUAUUUUAACUUAGGGUUUAUUUUUAGCCUAUAAGAUAAUGUUCAGGAAAGUGAGGUUUAAAUUUUUCCUUUUGACAGGGGAUCAUUGAACUAACUAGGAGAACUGCCAGUAUUCUUGGAAUUUUUCUUAAAAGAGCCUCACAAGUUCAGAAAGUUUAAAGAUCUAUCAGGUCUUCCUACAGUUCCUUAAAAUUUAUUUUAGAAAAAUUUACCAAACGUGAUGAAGAGGUUUAGGAAAAUCUCGCCGUCUGCUAUUGUAUAGGUUAGAACUUACAGGGAAAAAGGAGGAGGAGACCUGGGCUCUAUAGGGACAUAGGCCAGAAAAGGAUGCUGUGCAUAUCUCCGAGAUGAUCCUAAAGGAAAUGUGACCUUCAACAUUCAUAGGAAUUUCAGCCCCAAGAAUACAGGGGCAGGGAGAAGGAGUCUCAAUCCAUUUUGCUCUUUUACUGUCUGUAACCAUGUGUAUCUGUAACAUCAUUCAUGAUCUCCUUUUAAUGGUAAUUGUCUAAGAUUAUACUCUGUAUGACUUUGUUUUCUAGGCUUCGGGAGCAAGUUCUGCUUGAACCUAGCCGACGGUUAUGGAACCCAUUGACAUUCCAAAACAAUAUAUACACAUAACUAUGUAUUUGUGUGUGUGGGUGUGUGUAUAUAUGUAUAUGUAUGUGUGUAUAUAUAUGUAUAUGUAUAUACACACACACACAUAAUCAGCCAAAAUCAGAGAAAAGGAACAGGGAUUUAAUACCUUUUUUAUGCUUAUUUUUGUCAAACAUGUACUCCUUUCAUACGGGUGGCUUUUACAAGGCAACUUCCGUCAUUUAAUGUUUUCAAUUGUAAUUGUCUUAAUGGAAAUGUUAGAUUCAUAUCUGAUUAACAUUUUUAAUAACUUAGAGGAGAUUUUAACUUUAGUCACUUAAAUUAGAUAAAAUUAUUGUACCAAAUUCUUGUCUAAAGUUUAUUCAGGGGUGAUUUCCCUGACGUGUGUAUAAAAUAAAGAUCUUAUUUUACUGAGGCGUGAGUCCUAGUGCCUAGGACUCAUGUGCUUUCAGAUAAAUAAGCAAUUUCUGCAAUCAGUUUUCCCCAAUCAAAGAAGCCAUGUCAUUUUACUUUUAGAAACAUAACAGGUGGACCCAUUAUGGGAAUUUUCAUAAUAGCUCAUACAUUUGUCAGCCAACAUUAAAAAGUAACCAACUCCUCAGGUAUUUGUAGUUUACCCUAAUGCUUCUAUAAAAGAAAGUAGGAAAAAAGAAAAGGGUAGAUAAUCUUUCUUAUGCAAACUCUUUUCUUACAUUUUGUCUUUUUUUUUUUCCCACAUUUUAGUAACAUCCUCCACACAUUUGUGUGCCUGAUUUGAAAGGAAGCUGGGGCACCCAGCAAGUUUAGCCUUUAAUUUUAUAUGUAUUGAUUUGUAGAUUAACGAAUGCUGGGAGGAAUAAAAAAGGGAUAGAAACCCGGAACAUAAAGCAUUGAAAAUUCCAGUGCUUGGGCUUCUGCUUCAGAGGAAACAGUGGCUUAGGGUUAAACGGCCAUUUUAUUCAAAUGCUUGCUAUAAAAUCUGAAAAAACACUGGCAGGUGCUCCUCUCCUUGGCAAUCCAUUGCGUAUCCAGAGUUCUACAAUGUUUAACUAAAGAAUUGGUUAAUAUUUUGAUCCUCAAGUGUGAAUGUUCUUUAUGUUUGGGAGUGGGCUUGGGGUUUGGGGUUUUUUUUUUUUAAUUCCUGAAGCUUACCAGAUAUGAAUGGCUAAUAUUCCAUUGUUCUGCUUAUUGUAAUGGUGAAUGCUUUAAGAAAAAAAAGUGUAAUUUGCUAAGAAUAAUUCAUGAUCUGUUUAUGCGAUAACUCCUUUUUGUUACAAUUUUUUUAAAAAAGGCUAUUUUUGUUAAUGUAAAGUAAAUAUUUCAGAGCAAAUUUUUUAAACUUAUUGCACUAAAUACAGGCUCUGUACAAAAAAACAAAAACAAAAAAAAAAAAGCCUCAGCAUUUUAUCAUUCCAUGGAAGGAGAAUCUUUUGAAAGAAAGCAUUGCCUCCUAUCAGAAUUAGACAGCGAAGUAGACUGGUAUUAUGGAAAUGCAUACAAUUAAUGUCACUAGGGCUUAAUAAACAGCUGUUUGCUAAUGUGCUUCCUUUCAAAGGGUUGGACCUUUAAAUUGCUGCAAAAGGUAAAUUGUAUUUUUUUUUAAGUAUCUGUGUUCUUUAUCUAGCUAGGCUAAAAUUUGCUAAAUGCCUUGGUUUCUUUUUCAAAGCUCAUGUAACAUUUCUGAUUUUUCAGAAUAUUUGCAAUAAGAAUCUGGAUUUUAAAAAAAACAACUUAUACACACAAUUAAGAGUUCAUGUCUUAGCAAGAUCUGGGAAACCAACAUUAUGAGCGUAGCUAUUUUGAAAAAGUAAUUCUCCAGAAGUUAACAUUUAACAUCUAGUGUCGCCAAACAGUGUCACUGUACUCUUUUAUAUCAUUUGAAAUGGAAUAAAUAUAAUUAUGUAACUAACAACUGUCCAAAUAGGUGAGAGAGCAAAUCAUGUAAGAAAAUUCAGAAUACUGUCUGUUCCAUAGCCACACAGAUUUUGGACAUUCAGAAAAUUGGGAAAUAAAUUUAGAGUUGGCAAAAGUCUGGAAGAUGGGUAUCAAAACGGAAGACAUUUCGGGAGCUAGCUAUUUUCAGAGGUCUUCCUCCAAAGUGACCUGACAGAAGUCUUGAACUUGGAAACUAGGUUCUACUCACUUGGACAUCCCUGCAUCAUGGACUUUUGCUGCCCCCUGUUUCAUGUGCUCCCAAUAUCAGCUAUUUGGAAGCCACCAGGAAUGCUUUCUAAUUAUCAUUUGCAACUAGAACUGUAAUCAGAAAGAAAUUUUGUAUUUUUGUAUAACUUGAUUGUGUGCCAUUUUAUAUAACAGGUCCUGUUUUACAAAUAAAUUUUGUUAUUACUAACAUUGUGUUUAGAAAUUAUGAUCUAUGUGUAACCAUGUCCUUUGAGUUCCAAAUUAAUUUCUAGGCUGUUUUCCCUAAGUAAAUUUGUGUGCCAUAUAAAUAUAUGCAAAUGUGCAUAUAUAUUACACAGGCACACAUAGAGAGAUAUUUGAUAUAUCUCUCACUCUCACAUGUGCUUCAUUCCUUGAUUAAUUUGAUAAAGCCUCCUAGAGGCUUUUCAGCAAUAUUCAAAUGUUUUGCAGUUAUGUUCAGAUAUUUCUGCUGCCUCCUUCAUUCAUUGCAAAUCAUUCUUCAGCUAGCUGUGGGCUGCCUUAUUGCUAUUUGCUCACUGCCUCCAUCUUCUGCCCAAGUGAGAAGAAUAGAUGAAGAUCAGAAAUUAUCUGUGAAAUGUGGAUACCUGAAAAAUUUUAUAAACCAUUGAUUCUAUGUUGUGGUUCAUGUCCUUUUCUGUGAUGGUUCUACAAAACGGUCUAUAGGAGUCCUAUCUCUAGAGUUCUAGUUAGGGUCCCCUAUUGUAAAUGGUAGUACUGUCCAGAGUGUCACUGUGGUUUCUACCAUCAGAUAGUUAAUACUCUGGCAUAUAGUUUAGACCUUCUAGAUUACUUCCUCAAAAAUAAACUAUGCUGUAAUAUAAUAGGGAAGGUAAAAGGUUCAAUUUCAGUGUAAGUCCAAGAAACCCAUCUUCAAUUGGAGGCUUUACCAGUGCAAUAAUUAAAAAAAAAAAGUAAUUUAACAAGGACACUGAGAUUGUAUAAUCUUUGCAUGAAUGAACAGAGUUCAAAGUAGAUUGUUGAUCUAAACCACUUAGUGCAAUUGUUAAUGUUUAAGAUUAAAGUUUUUAUCCUGUCAUACAGGAUAAUUAAGUCCUACGUCACUGGAACUUAAGUAGCUUAACUGUGUGUUGGUCCUAAACUUUUUCCAUAAUGGUUAAGGAGGGGGGACUUAUUGAGUCUAUUUAAAAAUUAUGCUGGAAAUAUGUUUCUUCUUUACAGAAAUGAUCUCUUACUCUUUUCUUCUCCCCCCAUCCCUCCAGUGAAGGGCUUUAAGCCCCUGAUUAUAAGUUCUUCCAACACCAUUGACCUUGGUAUCUGCCAAGGGCUCUCUUGCCUUCCCAAGGCAAUUUCAGAAUUUAACCCAGUAGUAAGCGAUGAGGAGCUAACCCCUUUAUCCUGUUCCUGAGCUCCUUUAACACAGAAUAAUACCUCUCUUUCCCUCUUACUAAAACAACCACAGGAAUUGCGUGCCCCAGAUAUUUGCAAGGCCAUAUAGUACCCCUGAGCCUUCAAACAUUUCCACCAUGCAGACUCACUCACUACUUACUAAAGGCUACUUCAAGAGGUUUCCUAACAUGCAAAGUAGUAUUGUGGGAUUAGUUCCAAAACCAGAGCUGUCAGUUACAGUGAUUGAACAAUUUAUUUUAUGUUGCUUUUGUUCAGAAACCUUAUCAUUUGAAUUGGAGUUUCCAAUAGCCUUAACAUAGCCUCUAAGAAGUUUCCUUCAAAAAAUGUUCACUUCUCAAUAAGUAAGUUUGCUAUCGCUUUCUUUGGCUACUUUGAAAAGAAAAAAAAAAUCUUCAGAGUCUGGAAGCUUAUCAGUGCACCUGACAUGGUUAAUAUUUGUAUUCUUUUUAUGUAUUUCAUCUGACAGAUAGAAAUGCUUACUGAGAGUUAAGAUGUGGUCUGUGAAUAUAUAUUGGAGAAUUGUGGGUUCAUAAGUAAUGCAUAAAGCAGAAAUUUGUGUAUGCUAUAUUCAUAGCACAGAAUCCUUUUGCUUUAAAUGUAUAUUCAUAUAGCUCUGUGUACUAAGAAAUGCGUGUUAGCCCUUUGGAAAAAUAGGCAUUGUUCAUAAACAGUGACUGUUUUGGGAAUUAACUCAUCUUUGUUGAGUGGCACGCCUAAACUUUGAAAAAGCAGAAACCUUGGGUGUAUCAAGAGGAAGUUUAAAGCUAGAAAUCUUUAAAAACAAAACAGAAACUAAUCAUAUUUUAUAUACUAAUAAAUUUAAAAUAGCACACUUUUCCCAUUCAGAUUUCACAAAUUUUAGCCAAAUUAUUAUAUUCCACAUUUUAAUUCAAGAAGACAAUUUUAACCCAAGAUUUAAAUCUUUGAAAAUAUCUUUCUUAUAAAAAAACUUCAAUGUGAAGUUUUUAACAUUGUGAAUUUCUGUAUAAAGCCAUUCUUUUCUAUAAAAAUACUAUAGAGCCCUUUCUUCCUCCCCCUCUUGAUUUUUAUAUGUAUAAAAAUAGACAAAUGAUGAUUCAGUUUCAAUUUUAUGUGAACAACUGCCACUUUUGUAAAUUACAUGGACAGAAUUUAAGUUUGGUAUUUCUAAGGGAAUUCAUUAGAAAAUUUGCUUAAAAGAUAUGAAAUUGUUAGGAACCCAACUAUUAGGCUAUUCUUCAGUUUUGAUGCUUUACAACCUAAAUUAUUUUCUCCAGACCAGAGAACUCAGAAUAAUGAAGCUUUUAGUUGUGUUCUAAUCAAGAUCCAGUCGAACACAUAAAUAUUAAUUUAUAAAUGUUCAGAAUUUUUCCACUUAUAAUUGCUAAGACCUGAAUUCAAUAUUUAAUAUUCAAAAGCAGGUACAUUUGAGGGGCCAUUUGUCCCUUCCAACUUAUGAAAGCUGUGGACUAUCUUUCUCUUAAAUGCACAUAGCACAUCUGUUUUAAAUAUUUUAAAUGCUCAUGAAGCGGCUAGGUGUCCACUAAAGAUCCUUUUAAGAUGAUACUUUUCAUCUCUGGUCUGGAAUCUUUUUAUAACUUAAGAUUUUGUAUAAUUUAAUACCAGAUUUGGAUAGAGAAACUACCCUGAUCUGAAUGAAUAACAAGAUGGUCAACACUGAAUUUUCACAAAUAGUAAGAUGUCUUGCCUUAGACGUGUGAGGGUCUGUGUGUUCUGGGGGUCUUUUUGCAAGAUACCAAAUUUUCAAUGAACAACAAUAGAAAAAAAAAUCCAAGAAGUAAUUAAUAGAAAAUCUUCGUAAUUAUCCAUCUACUUAAACACUUGCUUGUUUUUAUUGUAGCUCAUAUAUGACAUUAUGCGAUAUAGUGUCAUCAGUAUAUCACUGUCUUAAAAUAUAUCUUUAAGUAUCACCCAGAAUAGUUGAAGAUGAUGAAAAAUUAGCAAACUCAAGUGUAUGGAGUACAUACUUGCCAAAAAUUAUGAAUGGAAAAUUGGAGUAGAUGCUGGGAGUAGAAAUUUAAAAUGUGUUUCCCCAGCUUCUCCCACCCCAACUUAAAUCAAGGAGGUGUUUACCCUUUUUUGAUUAUCUUCUCUUUAGAGCAGCCUUGAACCACUGUGCCAGUGGGGCUGGGCCUCCACUCCCCAUGUCCACUCAUCUUCCUUCUCCAGGGAAGCUUGUGGAACUCUCCACAUCCACAACUUACCACUAGGUGAGUGUGCUGCAGCUACAAGGCAGCUCUUCGGGAAGGGCCCUUGAAUGAAGAAGGCAGGAAGCCUUAAGGGAGUUUGAAGUUCUGUUGAGAUCUGAUUCCAGUGGAUCAUGGUUUACAUAUUAGACAUCAGACCACUCCCUACCUUCUUAGGCGGAAGAAAGCAGAGAAAAUUUCCUAACUGGCUGGUUAAAGAAAAAGGAGAAAAUUCAGCUUCCUGUCCCCUACACCUCUAAAAAAGAUGUAAUGAACUUUCAACAACAGCAAAUGGAGAGAUACCACUGGUACAAGUUUCUGUAUGAGACAGAAAAGGGCCAAUGUCCAGCCUAAAUUUGAUAGGUCCUUUUGUCAUAGACAGGUAUGACUUUUAAAGAGAGUAUUCUGACCUUUGUGUAUGAGCCUUAUCCCCAUCCUGCUAGCUGGAGAUGUAGUUUGAUUCAGUUGUUGCUCAAGAACUAUGUGUUAAAUCACUCCAUGUGAGUUAAGAUCAACAUUGAAAAGACUUAGAAUAAAUGGGCAGAUAGAAGGGGUGCCACUAAAAAAAAAAUGUAAGGGACUUCUUUAUUUAUUAUGCUGAUAAUCAUGUCAGGACUUUUUCAUAAAUUGUGUUAGAAUGUGACAAUAAUAGAAUAGCUUUGAAGACUAGUGGUUUGAGAUGGGGACUAUUAUGUAAAUUUCCCCUACCUUGGUACCUGUAUUCUAUGCUCAGAACUUCUUUUUGACCCCUCUUGGUUUUACUAGUUUUGAUUUUUGGAGGUAAAUCAUGUAGGGAAUGUUCUCUUUUUUUCUGCUGGGUUGUCCUAGUAGUACUAGAUUCUGAUGUUUCCUAAUUUCUUUCUUCCCUUACAAGAGUACUGGGAGUUCCAUAACGAAAAGGAGUUUCAAUUUUUACUGUCAGAAUAUUCAUGACUACUUAAUACUCUUCUAAUAGAUCUUGUACCUAAUGAAGUAAAUUCAAGUAGAUUAUUAGCUGAUCUCAUUACAGGAGGAAAAAAACCUUCCUACUAACAAAGGUGAAAGCAAGUAGAAAAGUGUCCAGAGUAUCUAACAGGAUGGCAGGGGCUCAGGAAAAACAACCAAAGACAAAAAAAGCCUUUCUUCUAAAGACCAAAGGCCCAGCUUCCACAUGCUGGUUUGGCAUAGCCUUUCCAAACUUAACUUUAGGACAGAACUCUUAGGAUAAGGCAACCAAAUUUUAAAGACCAGUCAAUAUAAUGGGGACCUGCUACUGCUCUCUCAGGCACUGUGUUUUCACAUCCAGUGUCAAACCUGGCCCAUUGUAUGGGGUAAUAUAAACAGAAAAUGGCACAUCGAGCUCUCCUGAUGUGUAAUCCAGCAUGAGAAGUACAUUGUGGUGCCACAUAUUCCUGAUGCCCUUUUGUUCAUUUGCCCCCCAUCUGCAUCCUAUUUCAGAAUGUCAUAAAUCUUCAUGUCAUGUCCUGUCUUUGUCCAUUACAAACUGGAGGACUGCAGCUAAGCCUUCCAUAAAGUCCACAGUGUGGGAUCAUUUACCUUAGGAUUAUGUGGAUUUUUUUUUCCUUGUUACAGUGUCACUACACUGUAUGCAUGUGGGGAAACAACCAUGUAGGUGCUUGAACAUGCCCCCCACACAGUCAUAGCCCUGGUGUUUGUGACUGUCGUCGUCGACACAGUGCAACUCUACAGAUGGAGCAUUAUGCUCUCAGAGGACUUAAAAAUAUGUAUAUUAAGCAAUUAACUUUCUGGAGUUAUCAAAUCUUGCUGGGAAAUUAACUUCUAAGAGCUCUGAAUUGGAUGGCGUUCCAUCUGGCUUCAGAGUACGAUGAGCUUAUAUGAAAUGGAGCUUUGAAAUGUUUUUCUUGUGCAGAAAUAUGAACUAGAAAAAAAAAGUGCUGAUUUAAUGCUAAGUUUUCUCUGUGUACUGACUCAGUUGCCAGAAUUAUAAUGAAAACUGUAUUUUAGUCUAACAAAUGUAUAGAAUUUUUUAUGUAAUAAAUAAAAUUUUAUAGGAAAGAAUGUCA
rnacentral:lncRNA from 1 species